UGGCAACAAAAAAAAAAAUUCAGUUGUCAACUGAAAUUUCGAGGAAUUGUUUUUGUUUUGGCUUCAAAUUUCCUUUAAAAAGUGGUGAAAAUGUCGAAGAAACCUCUUCGAUCGCAAGCAAGAAGUAUUGUUUUCAAUGUUUAUCAAAGAAUACUUGAUCAACAAGGUGCAGAACAUGCACAAUCAUCGAUAUUGAGCUAUGUGCAAGUGUUGACUGGGGUUUCUAAUACUACCAUAAGACGAAUUGUUGCCGAGGGCAGAUCUAACAGAGGCGUAUUUAGUACGCCCGGUAAAAAGAGGAAAGGUGGUUUUGAUUUAGAAUUGAAAAAAAACCUAAAUAUCAGAUAGAUGAGAUUUUUAAAUCACACGGCCACGAAGUCUUGAGGCUCCCACCAUAUCAUUGUACGUUAAACCCCAUAGGAUUAAUCUGGGGAAUAAUGAAACAAAAACUUGCAGGUAAAAACGUUACUAUACCUGCAAGUAACAUAAAAUUUUUAACAGAGAAGAUAUUUAAGAAGCUUACUCUUAAGUUGGGAUCGAUGAAUGGCGAAAAUCUUGUGAAAUCUAAUAAAAAUUGAAAAUCAGUUCAUAGAACAAGAUCAGUUAAUUGAGAUGCAGGAGGAUAGGUUUAUCUUAAAUACUGCGUCUUACUCUUCAUAUGAAGACUUUUUUAUGGAUGUGCAGUAUUUGGAACCAUUUUCAAGUUCUAAUAGCCUAUAAUUAAUUAAUAAACUCAUGAACAGAA